AUUUUAUGUUUCUGGCGAGAAGGGAACGGAGUUUUCAUCAGGUAGAUUGGUUUUUGUGCAGCCGUCCUCCACCGUUUCCUCCAGGACAGCACCUAGUCGUGGCCGGAAGAGUCUCAGAGCUGUCAGAAAGGUGAGCAUUUGUACAGUGAAACAUUUUGCUACACAAAAGUGAUGUUUAGGAAUAAUAACAAAUUAUUUUCAUGAAUAAGACUGAUUUUAUGGGAAAAUUAAGCAAAUGCUCCAGUUUGAAAAACCUGGAUCUGCGAUCUGUUUGUGGUCUCUAUGAAUAAAGAAAUAAAAGCAAAUAGAAUCUUAUCAGAUAAGUGCUGUUGUAAGUCUAAAUAUAUUUUAUUCUUUGGAAUCUCUAAAGCAAAACUUUUAAACUUUUUUUUUUUUUUUUUUUUUUU
rnacentral:antisense_RNA from 1 species